UAGAAUGAAGAAAUUCUUGAAAACAGCAAAAUUGGGCAUGAAAUUGGAGAAUGUAGUUCUCAUGGAAACUAAGAACUGGUCGUUUUUUGAGACAUGAGGAAUGUAUAGACUUUGUCACACAACUGGGUAGACAGAUACUCCAUUCCUCCACCAUGGAUACAGGACUCAAUGUGGCAGUCUUGAUGUGUUCUAGAGACAUCUCCUGGGACCACACCAUCUGCACUGAACAUCUAGUUAACUUCUCUAACCACAGCCUUGGAAACUUGGCCCCUUAUCCAGACACCAUCUACCAGCAAAGAUGACAAAGCACUGCCCUUAAUUAGAUUUUUAAUUAAACAGUAAAUUUUUACUUCAAAAAGCA